rnacentral:rRNA from 2 species
ACGGAAGGCAGCAGUGGGGAAUAUUGGACAAUGGGGGAAACCCUGAUCCAGCGACGCCGCGUGAGUGAAGAAGUAUUUCGGUAUGUAAAGCUCUAUCAGCAAGGAAGAAAAUGACGGUACUUGACUAAGAAGCUCCGGCUAAAUACGUGCCAGCAGCCGCGGUAACACGUAUGGAGCAAGCGUUAUCCGGAUUUACUGGGUGUAAAGGGAGCGUAGACGGCAAAGCAAGUCUGAAGUGAAAUCCCGGGGCUCAACCCCGGAACUGCUUUGGAAACUGUUUAGCUAGAGUGCAGGAGAGGUAAGCGGAAUUCCUAGUGUAGCGGUGAAAUGCGUAGAUAUUAGGAGGAACACCAGUGGCGAAGGCGGCUUACUGGACUGUAACUGACGUUGAGGCUCGAAAGCGUGGGGAGCAAACAGGAUUAGAUACCCUGGUA